rnacentral:rRNA from 1 species
GACGAACGCUGGCGGCGUGCUUAACACAUGCAAGUCGAACGGAAAGGCCCUGCUUUUGUGGGGUGCUCGAGUGGCGAACGGGUGAGUAACACGUGAGUAACCUGCCCUUGACUUUGGGAUAACUUCAGGAAACUGGGGCUAAUACCGGAAAGGAGCUCCUGCUGCAUGGUGGGGGUUGGAAAGAUUCGGCGGUUGGGGAUGGACUCGCGGCUUAUCAGCUUGUUGGUGGGGUAGUGGCUUACCAAGGCUUUGACGGGUAGCCGGCCUGAGAGGGUGACCGGCCACAUUGGGACUGAGAUACGGCCCAGACUCCUACGGGAGGCAGCAGUGGGGAAUAUUGCACAAUGGGCGGAAGCCUGAUGCAGCAACGCCGCGUGCGGGAUGACGGCCUUCGGGUUGUAAACCGCUUUCGCCUGUGACGAAGCGUGAGUGACGGUAAUGGGUAAAGAAGCACCGGCUAACUACGUG